UCAAAAAUACUCUCUUACUCUUUCUUGAUGGGCAGAGACACAGUCAGCUAUUAGUAGGUGAGUCCACCAAAAGUGUGAACACUGUGAUUCUGCAGAGCUUUGUAAAUGUCACUCUGUCACUAACACCAUAUAGCAACAUUUGCUCAGCCAAUGGCUUGAGUUUGGGUAAAUAGCAUCUUCUCUGGUAAACAAGCAAUCAUGUUAUGGUGGUUGGGUCUGUAUGUGUUUUAACUUGAAAACAUUCUGAUCUGUUUAGCAUCUUGGCCAUUUUUGAUUAUCUGACUCCUUCCCACCCCAGAUACCUAAUUUUCCCUGAGCCUUGAUCAGCUGAGGUUUGUCCAGUUGUUACACCAAAGUCUGUUGUUAGCUUCAAAUUUUAGCUAAUUUUUAAAUCCUCUCAGAUUUCAUAUAUAUUUAUCUGAAAUUAGUUUGACACUUUAGUCUUUUGCUCCGGCUAAAUAUCUCUUAAUGGUAAUCAGUGCACUUUAGAGCCAAAAUUGUACAAGAUACCAGUUGUUUGUGAAGUUUAUUUUUCUUAACCUAUUGGCAAAUGCUUCUAUUAAACAUGUUAAGCCUUGCCUGUAUAGUGAAAUGGAUUUUAUAGAUAUCGAAGCAAAUGACCAAAGAGCAAAGUUAUGUAAAAGUCAGUCAAGAUAAAGUCCUCCCCUCAAGAAUAGAUCUCAGGAAAAUACACAUCAAAGAGAUGUUUAAUAGUACCUAUGCAGACACAGAAUUUUAUAAAAAAAAACUAUAUAUAUAUUGAGAAAUAGUUAGAAUUACCACAGUGUUAUCUAAAAAUAAAUUUACCAUUGCAAUGUCAAUGAAUUUUGCGUGAAUUGUCUUUAGAGCAACUGUAACUUGUAACGCUGGUUUUAAUAUGUUCCUAGUGCGGUGGCUUGGCUUUAGUGUCGGUCUUAUUGUUUUCUGUAAAAUCUACUUUUUUUAUUUUUUACAUUUGUACUUCUUCCUAUUGUUAGAAACAUUACAUUACAAACAUUACAUUAUGUUCUAUAUGUAAGGGAUAAUGUCAAAUUUAUAUGUAAGGGAUAAAGCCUGUCAUCAUCAUAAGUUAACAUGGAUGGGGGUGAUCAGGACCCCAGCACAAAGUGCAAGGGGUUGUCCUGGUUUUUUAUUUUUUUGGAAUAUAAUGAUUUUAUCAUAUGGCUACCUAACAAAUAAAGAUAUAAAUGCA